rnacentral:rRNA from 1 species
CAGCCGCCACGGUAAUACGUAGGUGGCAAGCGUUAUCCGGAAUUAUUGGGCGUAAAGCGCGCGUAGGCGGUUUUUUAAGUCUGAUGUGCAAGCCCACGGCUCAACCGUGGAGGGUCAUUGGAAACUGGAGAACUUGAGUGCAGAAGAGGAAAGUGGAAUUCCAUGUGUAGCGGUGAAAUGCGCAGAGAUAUGGAGGAACACCAGUGGCGAAGGCGACUUUCUGGUCUGUAACUGACGCUGAUGUGCGAAAGCGUGGGGAUCAAACAGGAUUAGAUACCCCAGUAGUCCCUGUCUCUUAUAC